rnacentral:rRNA from 1 species
UACAGAGGUCUCGAGCGUUGUUCGGAUUCAUUGGGCGUAAAGGGCGCGUAGGCGGCUCAUGAAGGCUGUGGUGAAAGUCCGGGGCUCAACCUCGGAUCGGCCGUGGCGACUCGUGGGCUGGAGCACUGUAGAGGCGGGUGGAAUUCCGGGUGUAGCGGUGGAAUGCGUAGAGAUCCGGAAGAACACCGGUGGCGAAGGCGGCUCGCUGGGCAGUGGCUGACGCUGAGGCGCGACAGCGUGGGGAGCAAACAGG